GAAUAGAGUGAGCUGUCGAAAAACCGUGCAAAUUGCACGAACUCAAACACGAUAGUGAACUGUAAGAGUGAGGAGCUGUGUGACUUUUGCACAAAAUAAGAAACAAGACAAUGGCUGGCGCCCAUAGUGAAGGAAAAAGUUUACUGACUACUUACUUGAUCCUGAUAGCUCUACUUCUAGUUCUAUGGGCACUCUAUGCAGGCAUGUUCUAGAAUAAUGUACGUUCCAAUAGAUGUUGAUUUCUAUCUCCAGAACAUCCAUCCGAAGCAAGAUGAGCUCUGACGACCACAAUCCAGCAUCUUCAUAUUCAAAGUCACUUGCGCUGAUCAUCUUGAUCAUUGACCAUUAAAAUCGUUUGUAUUUUUAUAAGUGUACUGUCUUUGUUAGUUUAAUAAAAAAUUGUUAUACCUAUUAGUUAAUUGUAAAUAAAUGUCCACUGUUUUGUUAAUAUUUGCAAUGGGUUCUUAUUCUCAUAUGACCGAAGAAAACCAUUAAACUAUAAGGAAAAGUCUUGUUGAUAACAUAAUUAAAACGUCUAGUCAAAA
rnacentral:lncRNA from 1 species